rnacentral:lncRNA from 1 species
UUGAUAUUUAAACAAAGAAUGUUUCUUUUGUGUAUGUACUUAAAAGCACUAUAUAUUUAGUAUUGUGACAAUACAAAACUAUCUCAAAUUGAAUUUGAAUUCUCUUCCUCUACACUCUCUAGACAUCUAUUUCUCUCACCAAUAUAUGCUAGGUUUCCAAGCAUGAUGAUACCUUUAGACAUGGAUAUGAUUUACCACAUGAGCAUAACAAGGGGUGUUCGAAACCCCUUCGUCAAUGAGAGACUAAGAUAACUUCAUUGGAUUUGAUAAAGCAAGCAAAAUUUAGACCAUGAACAAUAGCUUACAUUUUAACCAUAAAAUUGGUUGCAAUGUCACCAAAACCCGAGAAACUAAAUAAUCAUUCACCAAUAUUGUUACCAAUGAUGUCACCAUAACCAGAUGUGCCAAGAUUUCUUAAGGAACUUUAUUGAAGAUAGUAAAACAUAAAAAUCUAUUUUAAAAGCAUACCCUCAAA